rnacentral:rRNA from 1 species
GACGGAGGGUGCUAGCGUUGUUCGGAUUUACUGGGCGUAAAGGGCGCGUAGGCGGCCUUCUCAGUCGGGUGUGAAAGGCCCGGGGCUCAACCCCGGAACGGCACCCGAGACGGGAAGGCUGGAGACCGGGAGAGGAGGGUGGAAUAGCCAGUGUAGAGGUGAAAUUCGUAGAUAUUGGCUGGAACACCGGUGGCGAAAGCGGCUCUCUGGCCCGGUUCUGACGCUGAGGCGCGAAAGCGUGGGGAGCAAACAGGG